GGCCGGGAGACUCAAAGGAGACUGGCAGUGAUAAACUGGAGGAAAGGUGGGGGAUGACGUCAAGUCAUCAUGGACCUUACGAGUAGGGCUACACACGUGCUACAAUGGCGUAUACAACGAGAAGCGACCUCCGCGAGAGCAAGCGGACCUCAUAAAGUACGUCGUAGUCCGGAUUGGAGUCUGCAACUCGCUCCAUGAAGUCGGAAUCGCUAGUAAUCGUAGAUCAGAAAAGUACUGUCA
rnacentral:rRNA from 1 species